UACGUAGGGGGCAAGCGUUGUCCGGAAUUAUUGGGCGUAAAGGGUGCGUAGGCGGUUUGGUAAGUCUUAUGUGAAAUCUAUGGGCUCAACUCAUAGUCUGCAUGAGAAACUGCCGGGCUUGAGUGUGGGAGAGGUGAGUGGAAUUUCCGGUGUAGCGGUGAAAUGCGUAGAUAUCGGAAGGAACACCUGUGGCGAAAGCGGCUCACUGGACCACAACUGACGCUGAUGCACGAAAGCUAGGGGAGCAAACAGG
rnacentral:rRNA from 1 species